UACCAAUUUUGGAUACAUGAAUAAAAUCAAUCUGUAAGUGUGUAAAAAGAGCAGUGUUCACACGAUCUUACAAAAGACUGUGCAUGCUGCCUGCGAUUCCUAAUAUAAAAUGAAUUCAUGAGUAAUUGGAUGGUGCUUGCUAUGUGCCUGACUGAUGAAAAUAAAGCAGCUUGCUUCAAGUAUGCCUAUUCUUCAAGUAUGCCUAUU